GUUUCUCUGGCGCAAUCGGUUAGCGCGUUCGGCUGUUAACCGAAAGGUUGGUGGUUCAAGCCCACGAAGGGACG
rfam:Nematostella vectensis strain CH2 x CH6 NEMVEscaffold_142_Cont15276, whole genome shotgun sequence.